AGGAUGUAACAAGUUGGAUAAGAAAGGUACUCACUGCCUUAUGUAUGAAACUGUAACCUCUCUGUACAUCACUUUGACAAUAAAUAAAUUCAUUUAAAAAAAGAGAAUAAAAAUCCUCAUCGGUUUUCAUAAGAAAUCUUAAUUCUAACUUUCUCCUCAUCGUUAUACAUCAACUUUUGAAUUAGGCUACCAUAAUACACAUGGUAAUGUUCCCAAGAUGGCAUAUACAUUCACAAGUAUAGUUAGGCAUUGACAUUUGGAAGGAAAAUAUCCUCAUAUAAUUUUACAAUUAUCAUUAUAAAAAAGGUAUCUCUUUUGACUACAUUUGCUGUUCUAACUAGAAUAUCCCUUUUCACAUAUACACCUAUGAAAACCAUCUACUCAGUCACCAUCAGCUAAAACAAAAAGAAUGAAACCCUUAUACCAUAGCCUCCACCCUCCUUUCCUGUACUUUCCUCUUCUUGCAUCUGAAUUUAAAUUGCUUAUCUACUUUAAAUACUGAGAAGGAAACAGAGACUAAGCUCUCAGCUUCUGCCUAGUUUUUCCUCAAGUCCAAUAUUUAAAUGAUGUGAAAUAGGGGUUGCUGUGGCAAAAGAACUGGGAAGAUUAGGAGGCCUAGAUUUACACUAAUUUUUCCAUUUUAAGUUCUAAUUCUGGAUGAGGGGCUACAUUUGUUGAAAGAAUAAGAAAGGUGAAGCAAGUGAGGGAGGCCUAGAAGCUUUCCUAUUUUACAGUGAAACUAUCUGAGAGAAACAUAAAGCAGAUUAUGUAAGUGAAUGUGGUAUGUCUAAAAGUUAGGAUUUCACACAAUGCGUUUCUUUUUCUUAGUAGUUAGGUUUGACAAUGGGGCUUAAUUUAUCAAGGAAGAAAUAACCAGGCUGUCUUUCUACUGUCAAGAGAACAAAUCAAAGAACUGUAUUUCAUGAGCAAU